UACCAGCUCUCCGAGUGGUGUGGAUGUUUAUUGGGCCUAAAGCAUCCGUAGCUGGCUGGACAAGUCCCCUGUUAAAUCCACCGAUUUAAUCGUUGGUGUGCGGGGGAUACUGCUCGGCUAGGUGACGGGAGAGGCAGACGGUAUUUUCGGGGUAGGGGUGAAAUCCUAUAAUCCCGGGAAGACCACCAGUGGCGAAGGCUGUCUGCUAGAACGCGCCCGACGGUGAGGGAUGAAAGCUGGGGGAGCGAACCGGAUUAGAUACCCGGGUAGUCCCAGCUGUAAACGAUGCAGGCUAGGUGUUUGGACGGCCACGUGCCGUUCUAGUGCCGCAGGGAAGCCGUUAAGCCUGCCGCCUGGGGAGUACGGCCGCAAGGCUGAAACUUAAAGGAAUUGGCGGGGGAGCACCACAAGGCGUGAAGCUUGCGGUUU
rnacentral:rRNA from 1 species